rnacentral:rRNA from 1 species
UACGAAGGGGGCUAGCGUUAUUCGGAAUCACUGGGCUUAAAGGGUGCGUAGGCGGCGCGGAAAGUAGGGUGUGAAAUCCCUCGGCUCAACCGAGGAAUUGCGCCCUAAACUACCGUGCUCGAGGGAGAUAGAGGUGAGCGGAACUUAGGGUGGAGCGGUGAAAUGCGUUGAUAUCCUAAGGAACACCGGUGGCGAAAGCGGCUCACUGGAUCUCUUCUGACGCUGAGGCACGAAAGCUAGGGUAGCGAACGGGG